UCAGUUAUGACUUUUAAGUGGCAGAUAACCAGCGGGUCACCUUCUGAAAGCUGUUUUGACUUUGUGAGCCAGAAGGUCCUUAUGGAGUACUAGGCAUCAGCUAAGAUCCUUGAAAGGAACCGGGAUGCUGCCCAAGGAGUGUUCCAAGGUCAAUGAUCCCUAAUCAAGCAGCUACCACAGAAAGCAGGAUGGUCUGUGAGCACAAUAGCAUGUGAAAACCACAUUGCUGAGGUCUGCAGGUGCUCUGUGUAUAAGGACCAUGUGAAGUGUUAAAUAUGGGGCAUGAAAAUGGAGUUCACCAUGGACAUGGGUCUCUUGAGGCUACAAGCCUCUGGAUUGGCAGGACCAAUCAAGAUUCAAACCAUCUGACUAUGAACAGCUGGUUCUGAAAAAGCAAAAUCUUUUCUUUUGGAGAGGAGGAGCUGAUGUGGAACUGCAUCUCACAGGUUUUGCCAUCACCAGGGACCUGGGAGACCUGAGAACAAACCCUGUUAGAAAUGACUGAGACCUCAAAAAAAAAUGCAGUGGACUGAUGUGAAGAAAGAUGAUGGGAGAAAAAUAUUCCUACUUACUGUAAAAAAAAAGCAUAUUGUGCUUAUGGGAAUGGUACAGAACCGAGCAGAAUAAAACCAUGUAGAGAGUAAGAAACUUAGACUCCUUCUCUAGGUUUUACAGUUCUUACAGUACUGAAAGGUGAGUGAUAACACUAUUGUGGGUGCAUGAACUGAGAUUCAUCUAAUUUAUUUUAAAAUACUUACAUUUGAGUUGCCAUUAUUUUCCCUUUGACAGCACUGAGCAGAAAAUAUGUGCUUUGUGAGUUGAGGGUAGUUUGAGUGUCUGGCACACUCACAAUGCCGGUUUCUUUCUGUUGACUGCAUAAAGAACUUCUAGCAAAAUGCAGAAUAGCUACCUAAGAUGUGGAGCUUUACAUGUCAGUAUCCAGAGUUCAGACAGAUGCAUCAUUGCUUCAUGAUUUUUUAAAUAUCCAGCUUCUCAAAUGAAUGAUAAAGUAAAAGUCUUGCCCUGCUUCAAAUAAAUGCUCAAAAAACACAGUGAAAGAAGACUGGUGCCAAAAUACUUCUUAAAAAUAUAGUAUUUUUAGAAUGAUAUAAUGAUUUGUUUUUAAAGUUUUGU